rnacentral:tRNA from 1 species
AGUUCCGUAGCUCAAUUGGAUAGAGCACCCUUCUAACUAAGGGGAAGAUGUGGGUUCGAGCCCCACCCGAAGGA